rnacentral:rRNA from 1 species
ACGGAGCUUGCUCUGGUGGCGAGUGGCGAACGGGUGAGUAAUAUAUCGGAACGUACCCUAGAGUGGGGGAUAACGUAGCGAAAGUUACGCUAAUACCGCAUACGAUCUAAGGAUGAAAGUGGGGGAUCGCAAGACCUCAUGCUCGUGGAGCGGCCGAUAUCUGAUUAGCUAGUUGGUAGGGUAAAAGCCUACCAAGGCAUCGAUCAGUAGCUGGUCUGAGAGGACGACCAGCCACACUGGAACUGAGACACGGUCCAGACUCCUACGGGAGGCAGCAGUGGGGAAUUUUGGACAAUGGGCGAAAGCCUGAUCCAGCAAUGCCGCGUGAGUGAAGAAGGCCUUCGGGUUGUAAAGCUCUUUUGUCAGGGAAGAAACGGUGAGAGCUAAUAUCUCUUGCUAAUGACGGUACCUGAAGAAUAAGCACCGGCUAACUACGUGCCAGCAGCCGCGGUAAUACGUAGGGUGCAAGCGUUAAUCGGAAUUACUGGGCGUAAAGCGUGCGCAGGCGGUUUUGUAAGUCUGAUGUGAAAUCCCCGGGCUCAACCUGGGAAUUGCAUUGGAGACUGCAAGGCUAGAAUCUGGCAGAGGGGGGUAGAAUUCCACGUGUAGCAGUGAAAUGCGUAGAUAUGUGGAGGAACACCGAUGGCGAAGGCAGCCCCCUGGGUCAAGAUUGACGCUCAUGCACGAAAGCGUGGGGAGCAAACAGGAUUAGAUACCCUGGUAGUCCACGCCCUAAACGAUGUCUACUAGUUGUCGGGUCUUAAUUGACUUGGUAACGCAGCUAACGCGUGAAGUAGACC